UGGGGAAUAUUGCACAAUGGGGGAAACCCUGAUGCAGCGACGCCGCGUGAGCGAAGAAGGUUUUCGAAUCGUAAAGCUCUGUCCUAUGAGAAGAUAAUGACGGUAUCAUAGGAGGAAGCCCCGGCUAAAUACGUGCCAGCAGCCGCGGUAAUACGUAUGGACCGAGCGUUGUCCGGAAUCAUUGGGCGUAAAGGGUACGUAGGCGGCCCAGUAAGUUAGAAGUGAAAUAAUAUAGCUCAACUAUAUAAAGCUUUUAAAACUGCUAGGCUUGAGAGAUGGAAGGGAAAGUGGAAUUCCUAGUGUAGCGGUGAAAUGCGCAGAUAUUAGGAAGAAUACCGGUGGCGAAGGCGACUUUCUGGUCAUCAUCUGACGCUGAGGUACGAAAGCGUGGGUAGCAAACAGG
rnacentral:rRNA from 1 species